UACGUAGGGUGCGAGCGUUAAUCGGAAUUACUGGGCGUAAAGCGUGCGCAGGCGGCUCUGCAAGACAGAUGUGAAAUGCCCGGGCUCAACCUGGGAACUGCAUUUGUGACUGCAGUGCUGGAGUGCGGCAGAGGGAGAUGGAAUUCCGCGUGUAGCAGUGAAAUGCGUAGAUAUGCGGAGGAACACCGAUGGCGAAGGCAAUCUCCUGGGCCUGCACUGACGCUCAUGCACGAAAGCGUGGGGAGCAAACAGG
rnacentral:rRNA from 1 species